AACAGCUCAAAUUUGAAAUCUGGCCCUUUCAGGGUCCGAGUUGUAAUUUGCAGAGGAUGCUUCGGGUUCGGCUCCGGUCUAAGUUCCUUGGAACAGGACGUCAUAGAGGGUGAGAAUCCCGUAUGUGACCGGCCGCCACGCCCAUGUGAAGCUCCUUCGACGAGUCGAGUUGUUUGGGAAUGCAGCUCAAAAUGGGUGGUAAAUUUCAUCUAAAGCUAAAUAAUGGCCAGAGACCGAUAGCGCACAAGUAGAGUGAUCGAAAGAUGAAAAGCACUUUGGAAAGAGAGUCAAACAGUACGUGAAAUUGUUGAAAGGGAAGCGCUUGCAACCAGACUUGCCCGCGGGUGAUCAACCGGUAUUUUUACCGGUGCACUCGCCCGUGGUCAGGCCAGCAUCGGUUUGGGCGGCUGGAUAAAGUCCACUGGAAUGUAGCUCCUUUCGGGGAGUGUUAUAGCCAGAGGUGCCAUGCAGCCCGCCCGGACCGAGGACCGCGCUUCGGCUAGGAUGCUGGCGUAAUGGUUGUAAGCGACCCGUCUUGAAACACGGACCAAGGAGUCUAACAUCUAUGCGAGUGUUUGGGUGUCAAACCCAUGCGCGUAAUGAAAGUGAACGGAGGUGGGAACCCUCAAGGGUGCACCAUCGACCGAUCCUGAUGUCUUCGGAUGGAUUUGAGUAAGAGCAUAGCUGUUGGGACCCGAAAGAUGGUGAACUAUGCCUGAAUAGGGUGAAGCCAGAGGAAACUCUGGUGGAGGCUCGCAGCGGUUCUGACGUGCAAAUCGAUCGUCAAAUUUGGGUAUAGGGGCGAAAGACUAAUCGAACCAUCUGCUACUAGAUGGCAUACGGGCCGCGUGCCCCAGUAGUCCCCGCGCGGCGGGGGCGACAUCGUCGGUCUCUUCGGGAACGCCUCCGGGCUACCCGCAGUGAGCCUCGGGCUCAUCCACAGACUAAGUGGCGGUGGCCGUGCCCUGGAGCACAGUUAGGAUAUAGUCGAUUCCGUCCNUGAAGGGGUGGUCUGGCAGAGUAGCUGGUUCNUGCNGAAGUUUCCNUCAGGAUAGCAGNAACGUCUUCAGUUUUAUGAGGUAGAGCGAAUGAUUAGGGGCCUUGGGGUUGAAACAACCUUAACCCAUUCUCAAACUUCGAAUAUGUAAGAAGUCCUUGUUACUUAGUUGAACGUGGACAUUUGAAUGUACCGUUACUAGUGGGCCAUUUUUGGUAAGCAGAACUGGCGAUGCGGGAUGAACCGAACGCGAGGUUAAGGUGCCGGAAUGCACGCUCAUCAGACACCACAAAAGGUGUUGAUUCAUCUAGACAGCCGGACGGUGGCCAUGGAAGUCGGAAUCCGCUAAGGAAUGUGUUGCGGCCCUGUUGUUGCACAUCACAGCGAACAUCGCUAGCGGGCACCCCCCAUGGGUGCUCGUGACAGCUCUAAUGUGCCUGGAUGCGCCCCCAUCUUUCGUUGAGGGUGCAACAGGCAGCGGGGUUUCAGACCCCCGCCCACAGACUAAACAGAGCUGACCGUGACCGGGCGUCAUGGUGGAGAUAUAGUCGUCCGAGCCCCGAGAGGGUGCUCGUCCAGGAGAACAACUCACCGGCCGAAUGAAUCAGCCCUGAAAAUGGAUGGCGCUCAAGCGUGCUACCCAUACCUCGCCGCCA
rnacentral:rRNA from 1 species